rnacentral:rRNA from 1 species
UACGUAGGGUGCAAGCGUUGUCCGGAAUUAUUGGGCGUAAAGAGCUUGUAGGCGGUUUGUCGCGUCUGCUGUGAAAUUUCGGGGCUCAACCCCGAACUUGCAGUGGGUACGGGCAGACUAGAGUGUGGUAGGGGAGACGUGGAAUUCCUGGUGUAGCGGUGGAAAUGCGCAGAUAUCAGGAGGAACACCGAUGGCGAAGGCAGGUCUCUGGGCCGCAACUGACGCUGAGGAGCGAAAGCAUGGGGAGCGAACAGG